rnacentral:sRNA from 1 species
CAGCAACCCAACUUGAACGGAGCUCUUUUUCUUUUGAAGAAAGAAAAAAGCGGGAGUGGAAGGUGGAUUAGUU